rnacentral:rRNA from 1 species
AGUAACACGUGGAUAACCUACCUAUAAGACUGGGAUAACUUCGGGAAACCGGAGCUAAUACCGGAUAAUAUUUUGAACCGCAUGGUUCAAAAGUGAAAGACGGUCUUGCUGUCACUUAUAGAUGGAUCCGCGCUGCAUUAGCUAGUUGGUAAGGUAACGGCUUACCAAGGCAACGAUGCAUAGCCGACCUGAUAUGGUGAUCGGCCACACUGGAACUGAGACACGGUCCAG